UUGUUUUAUGUUGUAAAAUCUUUUUAUUUUAAUUUGAUCAUGAAACAUGUGACGUGCUGUUAACUAGGACUGUCAUGACGAUGCAUUACAUAUAUUAUUAUGACCAUUGAUAGAAGGUGGACCACACAAUGACUGGUUCAUAACAACUAAGGAGACAUUUGUUUCAUGAUUUAUUGACAUGUACUUUUUUUUCCCCCACCAUGGUUUCUCUUGAUACCAAUACCAUAAAGUUUUUUUCAUUUAAAUUACAUUGAUAAUGAUUUACUCACAUACAUUUAUUGUUUCAUUUUCUUAUUGCAAUAAACAAGAGUAGCCAGAAUGAGUCAGGUAUUGCUAUGAUUUGCCAUACAAACUCUUUGUCCCCCUCUGACAUUGAAAUUCAAAAAUAACUUUAUUGGCAAGACAAAAUUACACCAUAGUCCCUCUCGCUCUGCUCUGAGAGGCAGAAUAAGGCUAUUAGCCUAAACACAGCUAACAUGAAAUACCUGCCCAGAAAAUGGGCAUCUAACAUUUACUUCCCAUGUGUGAAUCAUGACGAUGAAUAAGUGGGAAUUACCACUGUUAUGAUCACAGCUGCUGGGCUGCUACAUGACCGACCUGCCAAGGACAAGAUCACCACACUGCUUUGAUUGGGUCAUUGAUCCAGAAUCCAGAAUGACUGAUCAAUAUUAUCCGCAAUCAAACGUGCAGAUUUCUGUCUCCAUUAUUUUGUUAGGCCACUUUUUUUAGCUCCGGGUUGGUUCCGUCUGUGAGUGGUGGGAAUUAGGGAGCGAGCAGGUCCCAACACACACACACACACACUAGAAUACAUGGAACACACACCAACGGGAAGGAGAGGAAGGGUCCUGGAAUAGUAUCUCACUCACAAAAUGAACUCCGCAAAGGAGGUUUUCGUUCAGCAACAAAAAGAGCACAACGGUGGGAGCUGACGCCUAGCCAGCUUCUUCUGUAAGUAAUGGCAUUAAUAUUGUUCCUCGGGAUUUUUCACUUAAACACAUUUCUCACGCACACAGACACACAAAGAAAACAAAAUAUAUGGGAGUCGAAAUAAAAAAUAAGCCCGUUGAACAGCUGUAGCUUUUAUCCCUUGUUACCUGGCGUUGUACCCUGUUCCCCAAGCCGAGGUUACCAAAGUAAAAAGGCCCUUUAAUAUGAAGGGCGGUCCCUAAACCCACCAACAUCUCUGUCUCUGUAAAUUUCUUCAAGGGCUUGUGGUCUUCUCCUCGUGGAAGAACGGAAAAGUCGGUCAGCUGGCGUGCUCCCAGUUUACGCAGGACUCCAGACAACGUGUCACAACGACGACAAGUCACUCAUAAAACUGCAUUGCAAUGUGCAGACAAAGGUAAGACAUUAGAGUUCAUUGCUUCUCAAUGAAAGGGCACAGUGUACAUCUGGUUCAGAAAAGGGGGAAAGUUUUCAAGCUGUGGCGAGUCCACAGCUGCUUAGCUAGUGUUUCAACAUCAUUUAAUAAGUUCUUCCUACUUCUCCAUGAAAGCAGUUCAUAUUUACUGCCUACAAAUAUAUCACUAUUGUGUCUCCUAUUUUGCUCUUCCUUAGUUCUAAAUGCAAACCAAAAGUCCAAACCAAACGAAGAAACAAAGUGCUCACCAGUCUUUGUAAAAGAAAACAAGUCAUGGUACAUUUAAUGGCUUUCAGGUGUAAGAUGGAAACUAUUGAUCAAGGCCUUGAGCUGGACCUCUCAGCGCCUCGCUGGGCUUCCGCCUCAGUUGUCACUCCAGCUCAAGAUCGUUUCUCCCGAGAAUGCAUUUGGCUUUCACCUUCCUGUCUUUAAUUAGUUCUCCAUGAGCAUUAUGUCGGCCAGUGUUUAUUUGCCCUCUGCUAUAGACUCACAUGAACCUCCGCAGAUGGGGGACGUGAGGAGGAGGAGGUUAGGGACAGCAACGGAGGAGUUCAACCCAAUGACGCAGAGGCCUGAUCCAUCCUGAUCUUAUCCAGAGAACGCGAGCAGAAACAACACAAACAC
ensembl:lncRNA